UCCCUAAAUUAAAAAUCCGAGACCCCUUCCCGCGUGCGCUCAAAUCUCAAACAAUUUGAUGAGUUUUGAGAUAUCGUUCCCGAUCAAAACGAUAGAGUGCUUCUUCACCCUUCUCUUUGUGCAGAGAGAGGAAAAGUGUUUCCGCCCUGGCUCUGAACACAGCAGAUAUGCCUUUUUCAUCUUUUUCUUCUUCUUUCUACUCUCUUCCAUCUUCUUCAUCAUCGGUUUCCCCUUUUCUGUUUUGUUUUUGUUUUUGUUUUUUUUUUUUAAGCAGAAAACCUUGCUCUUCGCGCAUAGAGAGAAGAGAAGAGAUCCGCCUCCGCCCUUGGUUCUGAACACAGAAAACCCUGCUCUUCGCACAUCGAUAGAAGAGACCAGAUCCACCUCCGCCCUAGUUUUGAACACAGGUAUGUCUCUUCUAGUUCUGAACACAGGUAUGUCUCUUUCUUCUUCUGCUACUAUCUCUUCCAUCUACAUCCUCGGUUCCUUUUUUUUUUUUUUUGCAGAAAACCAUGCUAUUUGCGCACAGGGAGGAGCUACUCCUUCGCCCAAAUCGUUACUUUGUGGGCUUUCUUCACCAAAAUUUAUGGCACGCACCUUGUUCAAUGACUGCCGGAAGUUUUCAAAACUGGUAGACCCUCGGUUACAAGGUUGAUACCCAAUGCAAUAUUUAUACUUCAUUUCCAAGUAUUUGCUUGUUAGUUUUCUAGACUCUAUUUCUGUUCGGAAGGUGAGAUACUCGUUCGUGUUUAUGUUUUGGAUUUUCUUUUUUGGUUAUUUUUUUUGCUUUGAGUCUGACUUUUGAAAGAGAUCAUUAUUUAAUGAAAAGUUAGCUGAAGUUCAAUUUUUUUUUU